rnacentral:rRNA from 1 species
UACGUAGGGUCCGAGCGUUGUCCGGAAUUACUGGGCGUAAAGAGCUCGUAGGCGGUUUGUCGCGUCUGCCGUGAAAGUCCGGGGCUCAACUCCGGAUCUGCGGUGGGUACGGGCAGACUAGAGUGAUGUAGGGGAGACUGGAAUUCCUGGUGUAGCGGUGAAAUGCGCAGAUAUCAGGAGGAACACCGGUGGCGAAGGCGGGUCUCUGGGCAGUAACUGACGCUGAGGAGCGAAAGCGUGGGGAGCGAACAGG